CUACCCUUACUGCAUAUAUACUAUAGCAUUAAUUUAGCACUGAGUAUGAACCAUCAAGACCUUCCCCUCCCCCCUUGUUCCUCAAAUUCACUCCCCCCUGAAGAAUUUUUUGUCUGGUGGGAAAUAUAGGAUAAUCUUCUUGUGGUGAAUGGAGGACACUGGAGAAGUAUAAGAUUUCUUCGACUCUUUUAAUUCUUGAUUUUGUUUCCUUGGAUUGUUCUCAAUUUGUCUUCUGAAAAUAACCUCUUCAAGGCUAAUCAGAGAUUCCUAUUCCCCUCUCUUUCUUCAGCAUUUCUUUCUUCUCAAUUUAGGUUCCAUGGGAGUCUCAAGAAUGGAUAUCCUAGCAUCCUUCUUGGGGAGGUCUUGAAAACAUCCCACUUGGUAGAGAUUAGGGCAGAAACCACCCUGUAGAGUAAUGCAAUUCUUCAUUAAUUUGUUUGAGAAAUCUCAAGUACAAUUAAGGACUUCACAUAACCAGACUCUUGGUCUAACUCCAAAUAUGUAAAUCCAUACCAGGUGUCAGGGAAAGUUUUGACCCCAUGGCAUCGCCUAAUUAGGCUCAAUUCUGAUGACUCAUGAUGAAGAUAUUAAAGCCCAAACCCUUGCUCGCCUGAAAUGGUAGAGCUGCAAAAGGAAGAAAAGGAAACUUUUUUAUUCUACCAAUCUUCUUUUCAAUGUUAUUUGGGCCAUUGGCCAAGGGUUUCUCCUUUAUUAUUAGAUCUAGACCUCAAUUUUGAUUCGGAUUACUUGAUUGGCAGCGGACGCAAGAACAGAAGCAGCAUGGCCAUUUUUGGCAACGUUGAGAUGGAAGAAGAAGAGCUGAGUAAGGAUUUUAUUCCAUGGUCAAUUGGGGCAAAUAAUUUGAUUUUUUUUCUGAUGAUUUGGAUCUACUUUUCUUGUAAUUCCAAGGCAAAUUUAGCUUGAGAAAGGGUUCGGACAGCUCAUUUUGAUCAUGGUACCAUACCCUUAUUCCCUCACCUAUUGAUAAUUAGGAAUAGCACGGAAAGAGGGAUCAUUCUUUAGGGAAGGUCUUGUUGUUUUGUUGCUCCUUGUAAGUUGGGUGAAUUGACUGGAGAUCUUUACAUAUUUCCUUUCAGAAAUUUUCCAGUAAGGUCUAACUGAUGAUUUGUUUGCCAUACACACUCCAUUUCUUGAGUUAUAAAGGAGUAGUAUAGAGAUUGCCUUAGAUGCUACUGAUGAUUUGUUUGAAAUAAAAUUUCCAUUCUUAGGGUA